GCCACCCCCCGCCUCUGCAGGAGACCCCCCAACACUAGCAGCUAUGAAGUAAUCCUUGAAGGCCCUGGCAGCACAGCUGAAGGCAUUCCCAACAACUGAGGCAACAAGACCUUCGUUGAAAGGUAGUCUGGGUGGUACAUCACAGUGUGUAUCACACUUCAAUCUACCAGCCUCCUUCCUGUCCUCAUUUCUUUCCUUACUCAGCUUAUAUGCCAUUGUUCAUCACUCCAAUUAUACUCAAGAAUGCAGACAUGACAGAUGGCGCUGGAGCAGCCAUCUUGAAUCAUGAUACGUCAUUGGCCCAUGUGUGGAAGCUGUGUGUUGAGAAAUGCAGAACUACAUGGUGAAAGAACUCUGGAUGCCAAUGAUUGUGGAGCCUUCACUAACUCUGGACUUCCUAUGUGUAC